CCUCCUUAUACGAUUUAGAACUUAUUUGUUCGUAGUGUCCACACAGAUGAUUGUUAGUUAGUUUUACCCUUUGGGUUAACUAAUUAAUAUGCUCUUUAAAAAUUUGGAAAAGCUGAUAAUAAAAUUCGUAUGAAUAACAUUGUUAUUUGUACAGAGUUUUCAAAAGUAAAAAAGAAUGAUAGCAGUAUCAUUCAGUGCCAAUUUAAUCCUCGGAUUAAUUGGUAUCUACUUUAGUAUUCAAUAUUAACUUCUGGCGAAGUUAAACUGUCACGAAACAAAGACCCGUUUGGGUUGUAUGGUUAAGUGACUAAGCGUACACGGUGGAUGCCU
rnacentral:misc_RNA from 1 species